AGCUGGCCUGAUAUUGUUCUUUGAUGCUGUGAAUGUGUAUGGAAUGCCUACUGUCUGGUGUCACUUCAGACAAUUUUGCUACGGUUUACUGUAUGUUCUGUCUAUCUGUCUGCCAAACUCUCAAACUUGUUGUCUGUCUUUUUGUCUUCCUCUUUGGGCACCGGCAGGCACAGUCAUUCCGGUAGUCCGUUCCUCGAUGGACGUGAUGACCUGGCACCAAAACCGCUUAAUGUGUACGGAGCUGUGUCUGCAUCGAGGGAAGAACGCGGCACUGAAAUGACACAAAUGAAAGAAGAUUACUUCUGCUCUGCUGGGUCUGUGACACUAUUUAUCCGAGGAGUCCUCAAACAUCAGGAUGUAGGAAGACACAAGUAAAAGGAGAAGAAUGCUGCUCAGCUGGGUCGGCGGCCACACUACUUAUUCAAGAAGCCCUUGGAUAUCAUCAGCAUGUAUGAAACUUGUGGUGAGAUGCCAAGAGCUGCCUUGAGGGAUAUGCAACCUGCAGCUUCACCGUGCUUUUGGGAGGUCAUCUACUACGUGAACCUUAAUAUCUACAAGCCAGCUACUUUAAAUCCUUGAAAGGGUAGUGAUGUCAAUCAAACCAGAUCACGAGACAAGGUCCUGAGGUACAAACUGUCAAUAUAAUUGCGACAUCCCUGUCAGUUCUUUUGGACUGGAUACAUGCUGUGUUUGAAAUGUAUUAUUUGGAUAACCACCCAUCAGGGAAUACCUUGUUUGUUAAUGACAGAUAGACCUGCCAUGGACAUGUAGUGCACACUUUGAUGUUUUUUUAUUUUAACGUUUUCUAUGUUUUUUCAAUGUUUUUUUAUUUAUGUUCUGUUAUAUGCUGGUUAUGUAAGUACUGUAUGGAAUGUAGUGACUGUAGAGACCAAGACAAAUUUCAACCUGGGGACAAUUAAGUUCACUCCACUCUGUUAGCGCAGUUAUGGAUGCACUGUAAAGUUUGUAAUUAACAAAAAGUACGGUGAGAAGCCUGUUUGUGCAGAUGGACCUGCUGGCGGGUCUGUUUACUCAUAGCUAAAAAGCAACAUAUUCUCUGUGCAAAGCACAUGGGCUCUUCGCAAAGGGGUUAAACAUUUUAAUGUGCUGUUUUACAGUGUGCUAUACAAAAGGUAAGGUGAAACUAAAUUUUUGAAUUUCUAUAAUUGUACAGUGUCACUGAAAUCAAAUGGUACAUUGGUAAAACAGAACCAUUUCCUUUAACCCCUUUUAGCAGACCCUAUGUUUUAACUUUACUGUCACCAAUAUUGUAAUGACUGAGUUUUAACCUGUUACUUAAAGCUCUUGGUAAUGUCAUAGCAAUGUUGCUGUGAUGUAGUUGAGUCUUUUCGGUCAUGAGUGAUCAGUCUUGCUGAUAACCCAUCUUUGCAAAGAGGCUAAAAAGAUGCAUGUAAAUUCAAUUAAGGUUUUAUUGCUUCAAUGCUAUGAUGUGUUAAUGCUACACUGCUGUGAUUUGCAUCUUUAUAGUAUACUUUUAUGAAAUGUAUUGUUAAUUAUCUACAUUGUUCAGCAAUAAAAAAAGAGAUCUGAAAUAUUA